rnacentral:lncRNA from 1 species
UCCUUGAUGGAGCCCCAUAACCACUAUAAAAUGGUCUGAGUCGCCACCCACCGUCCUAACCCUAGUCUUAGCUCCAUCGUACUUGUCCUUGAUUACUCUGAUGUAGGCUUCCGGCACGCUCUUCGCCUCCAAGCACCUCCAUAGCACCUCCCUUGGGACCUUGUCAUACGCCUUCUCCAAGUCGAUAAGAACCAUGUGCAGGUCAUUUUUCUUAUCCCUGAACUGCUCCACUAACCUCCUGAAAAGCUGGAUAGCUUCUGUAGUGGAGCGACCCGG